CAAAAACAUAGCCCUAGAUAAUUUCUGAGGUGUAACCUGCCCAGUGAUCUUAAAUUAUUAGUAUAAAAGACUAAAAAUAGGAUUAAAAGGACGCGGUAACCUUGACCGUGAUAAUGUAGCAUAAUCACUCGCCAUUUAAUUGGUGGAUAGUAUGAAUGGUUGAACGAAUAUUCCACUGUCUUAAAGAGAAUUAAAAGAAAUUGAAAUAAUAGUUAAGAUGCUAUUUAAAACUGUAAGACGAAAAGACCCUAUAGAGCUUAACUAUAAUCUCUUUACAAAACAGAAAAAAUAAGUUUAAAAAAUAAAGAGACUGGUAGUUUAGUUGGGGCGACUGUCUUCUAAAUAAAACGAAGACAAGCAAUGUUAAUAAAUAACUUAUUGUAUAAUAUAAUAAUUUAACAAUUAUAAUCAUAGGCUAUAGUGACCCGUUGAUUCUGAAGAAAUAGAUUAACGAUCAAUUGAUAAAAGCUACCUUAGGGAUAACAGGAUAAUUUCAUUUUAGAGUCCCCAUCGAAAAUGAAGUUUGUCACCUCGAUGUUGAA
rnacentral:rRNA from 1 species